rnacentral:rRNA from 1 species
GGCCUAACACAUGCAAGUCGAACGCCCCGCAAGGGGAGUGGCAGACGGGUGAGUAACGCGUGGGAACAUACCCUUCGGUUCGGAAUAACUCAGGGAAACUUGGGCUAAUACCGGAUACGUCCGUGAGGAGAAAGAUUUAUCGCCGAAGGAUUGGCCCGCGUAAGAUUAGCUAGUUGGUGAGGUAACGGCUCACCAAGGCUAUGAUCUUUAGCUGGUCUGAGAGGACGAUCAGCCACACUGGGACUGAGACACGGCCCAGACUCCUACGGGAGGCAGCAGUGGGGAAUAUUGGACAAUGGGCGCAAGCCUGAUCCAGCCAUGCCGCGUGAGUGAUGAAGGCCUUAGGGUUGUAAAGCUC